rfam:Candidatus Saccharibacteria bacterium 47-87 scnpilot_cont_500_p_scaffold_55, whole genome shotgun sequence.
ACUAUGACCCGUAUGGGUCCUCUAUUCGACGACGUUCGGGCGUGCCGAACCAAUCGCGA